GGGUAUAUAACUCAAUUGGUAGAGUACUUGACUGAUAUUCAAGAGGUUAUAGGUUCAAAUCCUGUUAUACCCA
rnacentral:tRNA from 1 species